UACGUAGGGUGCAAGCGUUGUCCGGAAUUAUUGGGCGUAAAGAGCUCGUAGGCGGUCUGUCGCGUCUGCUGUGAAAACUCAGGGCUUAACCCUGAGCUUGCAGUGGGUACGGGCAGACUAGAGUGCGGUAGGGGAGACUGGAAUUCCUGGUGUAGCGGUGAAAUGCGUAGAUAUCUGGAGGAACACCGGUGGCGAAGGCGGCAUCCUGGACCAACACUGACGCUGAGUGAGCGAAAGCCAGGGGAGCAAACGGG
rnacentral:rRNA from 1 species